rnacentral:rRNA from 1 species
CCUACGGGGGGCUGCAGUGGGGAAUUUUGGACAAUGGGCGCAAGCCUGAUCCAGCCAUGCCGCGUGGGUGAAGAAGGCCUUCGGGUUGUAAAGCCCUUUCGGCCGGGAAGAAAUCGUGCGGGCGAACAGUCUGCAUGGAUGACGGUACCGGAAGAAGAAGCACCGGCUAACUACGUGCCAGCAGCCGCGGUAAUACGUAGGGUGCGAGCGUUAAUCGGAGUGAGUGGAGGCGGAGCGAGCGCAGGCGGGUGAACUCCCCGGGCUUAACCUGGGAACUGCGGUUGUGACUGUGGUGCUAGAGUACGGCAGAGGGAGGUGGAAUUCCUGGUGUAGCAGUGAAAUGCGUAGAGAUCAGGAGGAACACCGAUGGCGAAGGCAGCCUCCUGGGCUGAUACUGACGCUCAUGCACGAAAGCGUGGGGAGCAAACAGGAUUAGAUACCCUUGUAGUC